GCAGGAUGCCACAAGAAACCCUCCCAUCUCUUUUCAUUUCAUCCCGACCGGACGCCAUUACAGUCAGCCUGAAUCAAACAGCAGCUUCACCUCUCAGAACGUGGAGCAGAGCACAGAGAAAAGAUCAAAGCCAUAGUGAGCGAGCACAACAUGCAUGUAAAGAGGCUGGUGGGGCAAAUAAAAUGGGUUAAUUGGAAGGAAGUGCACUACUCCAGUGCCUUUUUAAUCCCAUCUUUAUGAAUGCUAUCAGAGAAAUUGCUGCUCUCCUGGGAUUUUUACACACAAUAUUCUCUAGAGUUUACACAGUAUGGUACCAAAAACAAUCCAGUGAUGCAAGGAGACACAGCCUGUUGAUGAGAAAGGGUAGAGGAGAAUGGCCAAAUUGGUUCAAGCUGACAGGAAGGUUACAGUAACUCAAAUAACUACACUGUACAACCAUGUUGAGCAGAAAAGCAUCUCAGAAUGCACAAUACGUCAAACAAAGAGGCGGAUGAACUACAACAGCAGAAGACCAAACCGGGUUCCACUCGUGUCAGUCGAACAAGAAUCUGAGACUACAGCUGAAGACUGGAAAAAUGUUACUGGUCUUUUUCCAGUCUUCAAUUUUGACAUUAUGGAUAUUUAAAAUGCUAUCAUGGUUCAAGUAAAGUGAAUAUGUUAAAAUGUUCCUCAUAGUAAGCUGUAAGACACUAUUAACUUUUAUUUUUGUAAUUUAAUAUGGUUAACACUUAAGUCCAGAUUAAUUACAAAAACACAUUCAUGUAAUUAAUAAUAAAGGCAUAUUACAAUAAAAUGAUAUGUAGGUACUGCAUGUGUCCUUGUCAUUUCUGGAAGCACUUAAUGAUGACACUUUAAAUGUUGAUAAUGUUUUUAUAAUUGUUAAUGAAUAUUACAGUUGAUUUAUAAGUAUGUAGUAAACUACUAAAUAUUAUAAUGAAUAGUCACAUUUGUAUUGCAACAUUAUUGUAAUCAACAAAUUAUUUUACAGCUAUUGCAGCAAUGAAUUAUUUAUAGUAUUUAUAAGCGCUAUAAGAUUCACAUCACUAUAUACCAAUGGAUUGUUUAUAGCACGUUAUUAGAACUUAAUGAGGCAUCAUUAGAGUUUAUAAAAAUGCUUAGCAACCUAUAAAGAAUUAUAAGCACAGUUAUAAUGGUGUUUAUAUCAGGUGUUGCUAAAUAUAUUUCAGGUGAUACAGGUAUAGCGAAGGAACUGGAUUUACCUUUUAU
ensembl:lncRNA